GCAACGUACGGCGCGGGGUGAGGGCUGAGAACGUGUUGACGUGUUGGACACAGACAGACAGAUGGUCACACCGGCAACUUGGCGUGUUCGGCCGGCAGUGGACCCCACCACCUUCUUUAUUUAUUUAUUAAAAAUAUAUAUAAAAGCGGCCGAAAUGUGAGAGAUGCCUCAUGUCUAUGAUGUGCCACGUUUGGCACCCUAAUCUAGAACACAGCCCAGCCACCUCACCACCUCGCAACAUUAAAAUAAUAAUUAUAAAAAGAAAAUGAGUGGGUGGCGGCGGCUGCCGCUUCCGACGUGGACGUUGCUGCAUUUUGAGGCGACACGCCACGCCACGCCACGCCACACACGAGUGAAGGGAAAGGCAUGAGAAACGACGACGGUUUGAGGUGCAUGGGAGCGUACAGAACACACGCGACGAAAGAGCGUGGGUGGGGUGUGAGGAAAUAUUGAGAAAUGGGAUUUGUAUCCCAUAAGAUGGACAGAAGAAAGUGUGAAGGUUAGCCUUUGAUUUGAUUUGAUGAAGAACUUGGCACUCAAGGCGAAUCCGGACCCACUCCUAUAAUUGGAGUCGUCUUCCCAGUGCAGCUUCAACGCUGAAUAUGUAUGUUGCUCUCUCCAUCUCUUUCUCUGUUUCUAUCUGAAUGUAUUUGGUAUGUGGGUUUUGAAUGGUUUAAGUUAAAGAUAUAGAUUUCGUUCAAAUAUUAGAUGUUUAGCUAUCAAUUUGAUUUCUAGGGCUUAGUUUUUGAGAUUUUGGAGUCCCCAUUUCAGGCAUCCAUUAAAGCUCUUGAAUCCUUAAAGUUGUCGAGUGUCAUAGAGGUUUGUUACAUUGUAGCUUAUCCUUUAUACUAUACUCGAAUCAUUUCUCCUUUUUCACUCAUCGAUGAUAAUACGAUGGAUCUCGAUUGAAUUGUAGAAAAUUGUUUAGGUCUCUUGGCCUUCUGUAAGACUAGUGGGUACUUAGAACUUAUCUGCCUUCAAUUCCCAGUCCUUGUACCUAUAAACAUUCCUCUUUAGAAGGUUUUAUUUUGAUUCAUCACAUCAUUUGUCACAAUCCAUUCUCAGGAUUGGGAGGAUUUGGAUUAGGAUUCUGAAUCUAGGUUCGAUGCAGAAUAGUCCCAAUAUUCCCUGCGAUAUGGUUACGUUACUCCUCCCUUCUAAGAGAGAAGACUUAUCUCUACACACCAACACGAGCAUUCUAGUAUGCUUUGUCCUCACAUAUAUGCAUCCUAGGAGAAUUUUCAAGAGGUCACUCAAACAUAGAAUUGCUCCAAGUAAAGCCUUCUUAAUGUUAGAGUGGUUAUGAUUGUGCUACUAAAAAAGAAGAUGCACCUUGUUGGUAUACGUAGUUACUUUCAAUUCUUUUUAAGUCUUUCUUAGUCAUUCUAUCAUAAAGAUCGUUUUGAUUCGGUUGUAGUUUUGGUUCAUUUAUGUAUCCCUCAUUUACUCGGGUGUCACAUGCUCACUAGUUUCUGCCUUUCUUCGUCCCUGAACCCCAUCUUAUUAGAUAAGGUAUCGCUUUAAUACCAUUUGUCACAACCCAUGCCUAGGAUUCGGCACUUGAUGACCCCAACAUUUUCCUACAAUAUGAUAAUGUUACUUACUUCUCGCUUCUAAGAGUGGAGACCAUCCCCACACAUACCAACACAAGUCUUUUCAGUAUGUUUUGUUCUCACUCUCAUCAUUCUUUCUAGAGGUCAUCCAACAUAGAACUACUCCAAGUGAAGCACGCUUAAUUUGGGAGUUCUUAUGGUUGAACCACCGAAAAAGGAGGUGCACCUUGUCGGUACAAGUAGUGAUUUUCAAUUAUUUUAUUACUUUUUUAGCUAUCCUAUUCUCGAGAUUGUUAUCAUUCAACGUGGUCUCAAUUUACUUAUGUACUUCUUCUCCUUUAGUCGAGUAGACUCUACAACUUCUCGCUCCCUCUCGGUGUGAAGACUUUGAUGCUGAAUCUAAAGUUAGCCUGAACAGUGGGGAAGGGGAUUCAGUUUUGGUUGCACCAGAGGGAGGAUUCACUUUUGAGCGAACUUCCUGACUGCCAGAAAUUGCCUUCUACUGGUUUUGGUGCAUCAUUUCCCCUUAAUAGAGGGGUUUCUGCCUCAAGGAAUGGGUUGCCUACUGAGUUUAGACACUCUUCGGAUGGCUUAACCAAAUUGGGUGUGAUGGAGGAACCUGCUAAUGUUGCAUCCCCACGUUUGCUGAACUAUCACUUUUCUCCAGUUUUGAGAACUCUGAAUCCAAAUACUCCUCUUCUAACUAUGCUUCUCUGUCGUUGUUAAGACAAAGUGAACCUACUGCUCUUAAGUUGUCCUAGAAAACUUCGGUGAUUAAGAAAAGGGUCUUUGUAUUAUGGCGUGCUUUGAGCGUUGCUGGAUAUAUGUACAGAUAUCAUUACCAUAUUCAGCGUUUUCUUCGCUUACCAAUAUAUAUAUCCAAAGUGCAGCCUUGGCUCAGACCCUGGAACAACCAGCAUUCCACCCAAGCACACUCCAGAUUCUUCCAGUGGCAUCUUAUUCUCCAUUCCCAACUGAGAACAAAAUCUGGGCCGUUCAUAGAGUUGAAGAACAACCAGAGGGUAUCCACGUUGUGUUAAUAAAUCAUGUGUCCUUUUGCACUGGACCCAAGCCCUCAUUUGUUCUUAUAUUUUAACAGCAGGCAGAGAUUCCACGUGUAGAGCAACCCAUACCCUGCUCUGUAUCUGAAGUAGAUAUUUUUGGUUUCUGCUA